AUGCAUCGGCAUUUCUCUUUCACACAUGCUUACAAUCUCUCUCAGGGUGUCGGGGUGUCUUACGCACAUGCUCUCUCUGUUUCUCUCUCUCUUUCUGACUACUAUGUACCACUCUUUUCACUAAUCUCAGUUGGAAAACACUAUUUCUCUCACAUGCAUAUAUACACACGCACGGUCUCUACUAGCCCUCUAUACGCACAUAUAUGUGCCUACGUGUCUCCCGCACGCACAUUAUCUUUAGGCCUCUCUCGCACACAUUGCCCCCCGACACACCUCUCUCUUAGUAGUUGGCAGAUAUGA
rnacentral:rRNA from 1 species